UGAUGAUGAUCUGGAGAACAGCAAUGAAGAUGUGAGAAACCUGUCAGACUAUGAUGAUGUAGGGGAGUUGAAUGAUGAGGCAGGGGCUACUGUAUAUGACUCAGUGGCCCCACUCAAUGUCACUGCUCAUUAAAAGCUCUGUUGUUUGUUUUGUUUUUUGUUUUGUUUGCUUGUUUGUUAUUUGCUUGACAAUUUUUUUAAAUACAUUUAGAGUUCUCUUUGA